rnacentral:sRNA from 1 species
ACAAGAACAACAAAAAUCAGUCACCCGCAAAACAACACAAUAAAAACAAGACGAAUCGACUCACGCAUAACAAGAACAACACGGCGGAGGCGCAGCUAACUGAUUCUUUUGGAGAGGCGUUGCAUUUGGGACUUGUCCCGCAACCAGGCCGAGAACAACAAAAAACUACCCUAAGGUAGAGCCUGAACUGGUUGGAUCGAUUGAUCAUUGCAGCACAGCGACCAAAGCAAUCCGUUUGCUCUUGACUCCCGAUUGGGAGGUUUCACAGGCGAAAGCCGUGAAUUGGGCGCUCAACAAAAACAAAAAGCCCAACAGACAAUAAAAAUAAGAGCACGCACUUUGGGGGAGCUUCGGCUCCCCCAGUAGCUUCCGGGACAAAGAUCCUGACGCGACA